GCUUAUGGCCACACCGCCUGGUUCACGGCUGAUCUCGUUUGAUCUCGGAAGCUAUGAUAGGUUGGGCCUGGUUAGUACUUGGAUGGGAGACCGCCUGGGAAUACCAGGUGUUGUAAGAU
ensembl:rRNA 5S_rRNA 5S ribosomal RNA